UUAGAAUAAUAAGUGUGUGCAUCUUAUAGGGCCAGGAGUAUCUUAAUUAGAGGCUGUAUAGACGUUUGAGUGACUAACUUUCAGCAAUUCAUCUUAGGUCAUCUAGCUUUGGUAACAAAUACAGAUAACUGAAGUGUUGAGUAUUGACUUUCAAAUUUGCAGGACAUCAAGGCAUUGUUCCUUCUGAUAGGAAUCCCUUUUAUGCUGGAUUUGGAAACAGAGACACUGACGAGCUCUGCUACCUCAAGGUUCAAAUACCUGAAGGAAAAAUCUUCACCAUCAAUUCAAAGGGUCAAAUUGUUCUAAAUCGCCACACAGAUACAAAAUCAUACGCCUGUCUUCAUGGUCGUAUCAAUGACAUGUUUCCAUCCACGUCCCCGUUGAGCAGCUUACAACGCUGACUAUCUGAGAAUAGCUUCGUUCUGCAUAUUGCUUGCAAAGGGAAACACCUGAAAUUGCAGGAUUUAGUUUUGCCAAGACGUGUCAGUGGACUCACAAUACGUACCUUUUAAAAAAUUUCUGUCCUUUUAAUUUUGUUAGCAUCAAAAAGUUGGUGAAGACAUAUUCUGAAUACAGAGGUUCUUUCUUUGGCUCAACCAAAUGCGGCCUCAUUUUAACUGUAUAUUUGCACAUGGAAGUUACUAGUUUGUUUGUUAUACAACCAUACUUGAAGGAAGAAAGUAUUGUAAUCAAUUUUCUGUUAUGUUCUAAUUUUAUGCAUCAAUAGUAGGCUUGCGCAUUUGCUGUGCAUUCAUGUAUAUAAACAAUUGUUGGAGGACAUUACAAAUAAGUUCCACGUCAUUGAAUGAGUUGGACUUUCUAAAAUGUUGUUGUAGCUCAUGA